CCUUUAAGUUUCAGUCUUGCGACCGUACUCCCCAGGCGGCAGACUUAACGGCUUCCCUGCGGCACUGGGUUGGCGCAAAGCCAACCCAUCACCGAGUCUGCAUCGUUUACAGCUGGGACUACCCGGGUAUCUAAUCCGGUUUGCUCCCCCAGCUUUCAUCCCUCACCGUCGAGCGCGUUCUGGCAGGCCGCCUUCGCCACUGGUGGUCUUCAGUGGAUCAGAGGAUUUUACCCCUACCCACUGAGUACCGCUUGCCUCUCCCGCCUCCUAGCCCUGUAGUAUCCUCCGCAGCCCAUCUGUUGAGCAGGUGGAUUUAACGGAAGACUUGCAGAACAAGCUACGGAUGCUUUAGGCCCAAUAAUCGUCCCGACCACUCGGGGUGCUGGUAUUACCGCGGCGGCUGACACCAGACUUGCCCACCCCUUAUUCUGCACCAUUUUUAG
rnacentral:rRNA from 1 species